AAUAUACUCCCUCCGUCCCAUGUUAAGUGUCUCAAAUUUGUUCAAUUAUGGAUGUAUCUACACCUAGAUAUAUGUAAUAUUUCGACACUUAAUAUGGGACGGAGGGAGUAUAUC
rfam:Brachypodium distachyon strain Bd21 chromosome 2, whole genome shotgun sequence.